UACGUAGGGUGCAAGCGUUACUCGGAAUUACUGGGCGUAAAGCGUGCGCAGGCGGUCUUUUAAGUCAGAUGUGAAAUCCCCGGGCUUAACCUGGGAACUGCGUUUGAAACUGGAAGGCUUGAGUGUGGCAGAGGGGGGUGGAAUUCCACGUGUAGCAGUGAAAUGCGUAGAUAUGUGGAGGAACACCGAUGGCGAAGGCAGCCCCCUGGGCUAACACUGACGCUCAUGCACGAAAGCGUGGGGAGCAAACAGG
rnacentral:rRNA from 1 species